rnacentral:rRNA from 1 species
CCGGUUGUCCAGGCCGUCGAGAAAAGCCUCGGCGUGAGGGCCAUGGCCGCCCGUACCCCAAACCGACACUGGUGGUCAGGUAGAGAAUACCAAGGCGAUCGAGCGAAUCCUGGUCAAGGAACUCGGCAAAUCACUCCCGUGCCUUCGGUAUAAGGGAGACCCGCUGGGGUGAAGGACCUUGCGUCCGGAGCUUUGGUGGGUGGCACAGACCAGGGGGUAGCGACUGUUUACCAAAAACACAGGUGCAUGCGAAGGCGAAAGCCGCUGUAUAUGCACUGACGCCUGCCCGGUGCCGGAAGGUUAAGAGGAUCCGUCAAUCCCUUCGGGGACGAAGCGGUGAAUUCAAGCCCCGGUAAACGGCGGUGGUAACUAUAACCAUCCUAAGGUAGCGAAAUUCCUUGUCGGGUAAGUUCCGACCUGCACGAAUGGCGUAACGACUUCCCCACUGUCUCGACCAGGAGCUCGGCGAAAUUGCAGUACGAGUAAAGAUGCUCGUUAAGCGCAGAAGGACGAAAAGACCCCGGGACCUUUACUAUACCUUGGUAUUGGCGUUAGGCGCGGAUUGUGUAGCAUAGGCGGGAGGCUUCGAAGCGGGUGCGCCAGCAUUCGUGGAGCCGCAAGGUGAAAUACCGCUCUGUUCUCGUUUGACGUCUAACCUCGACAAGUCAUCCUUGUCAGGGACAGUGCCUGGCGGGUAGUUCAACUGGGGCGGUUGCCUCCCAAAGAGUAACGGAGGCGCUCAAAGGUCCGCUCAGCCCGGUUGGCAAUCGGGUGUCGAGUGUAAUCGCACAAGCGGGCUUGACUGCGAGGACGACGGUCCGAGCAGGGACGAAAGUCGGAGAUAGUGAUCCGGUGCCGGCGCACGGGCGCGGCAUCGCUCAACGGAUAAAAGGUACCCCGGGGAUAACAGGCUGAUCAUUCCCAAGAGUCCAUAUCGACGGGAUGGUUUGGCACCUCGAUGUCGGCUCGUCGCAUCCUGGGGCUGGAGCAGGUCCCAAGGGUUCGGCUGUUCGCCGAUUAAAGCGGCACGCGAGCUGGGUUCAGAACAUCGUGAGACAGUUUGGUCUCUAUCCUCUGCGCUCGUUGGAAUCCUGAGGAGGCCUGCCCAUAGUACGAGAGGACCUGGGUGGACGAACCUCUGGUAUGCCGGUUGUCGCGCCAGCGGCGCGGCCGGUUGGCUACGUUCGGGAGGGAUAACCGCUGAAAGCAUCUAAGCGGGAAGCCUGCUCCAAGAUUAGGAUUCCAUGGAUCUUCGAGAUCCUGUAGCCCGCAUGUUGAACACGUGUUUGAUAGGCCGGAGGUGGAAGCCCCGUGAGGGGUGGAGCCGACCGGUACUAACGGGCGACGGC